GGGAAGACGAGGCAGCACCCGCCGCCGCCGGCCGCCGCGCGGCAUGGAGUGGAGUUGUUGGAGACGAGAGCGCCAGAUCUUGGAGAGUUCAUGCGUUCUCCGCGCGGAGGAGAUUCAAUUCGUCAGAGCAGAGGAGGGCAAUCCGGCGGAGGAGAAGGGAGAGGGGAGAGAGAGCCUCCGGCCGCCGGAGAGGAUGGUCGCGAGCUCUCGGCGACCCAACAUCGUCGUCUCCCUGUCGCGCGCGAGAGAGAGCCAGAGUUGCGGAUUUGGUUCCCCACCGCUCGAGUGAUGGAACGUUAUCCCGGGGAUGAACGCGAAAACGACGGGGAAACUACACCGUAUGAGCAACCAAAUGAGCUUAUCCGGAUCGAUUGGACCCGGGGUUUGUUGGGCCAGGGAAAACGGGCGGAACCGCUCGGGAAAGUGUGCAACCAAACGAGCCCUAAGAGAGCUAGGUUACGAGCAAGGUUACUUUUCCUUUGGUCCGGUACUCUUUAUGCUCUCCAUAAGGGAAUACGCAGGCCACAUAUAGCACACAAGACGAACCUUGUUAUGAAGUGUUCAUCUGUUGAUCCUUUCUCAUUUUUGGUCUCUCGCACUAGGCCUUUGAAGGCCCAAGAGAUUAUCUACAUCUUCUAAGUGGAUUUGUAGCAGAGUUUCUUGGAUGAAGGUGUUAUGUCCAGUGUUGUAAGUAUCGGUCAGUUUUUUGCAGGGGAGGAGUAGAAGAAGACCAUGGAAAGAAGCUUUGGAGAUGUUCCCAACAAGGUGAUGAUAGAAGUUCUAGCGGCGACAAGGGUGGACGGCAACUGAUCAUCACACUGAUGCAACAAUUUUUUGUAUUUCAUGUUAAUAAACUAUUUAUGUUUUGAAUGGGAGUAAUGAACCAAGACAUGAAUGUUAUGCAUAAGAUUUAUA